UUAGUGAGCGACGGAUGGUUGGACAACUCCAUUUAAAAAUUGAUAACGUGGGAGGAAGCGGAACGCCCGCAGCCUCCCAAAGGCUCCGUUUGAGCUCACAUGCGAGAUGACUCCUGUUCCCCUUCAGCGACUUUGGCGCCCGCCUAAGACACUGUUUCUCCGCCCACAUUCCCGCCCCUCCCGCGGCUGUUUGCGCUGCGUCUCUGGCCCUUCCCCUCAACCCGCCCUAUCAUUCUCUCGCCGCGGAUGUUUGGAGGGCAGCCUAGGGUUUAUUCCUUUUCUAUUUUAUCUUGGAAAAAGAAUGUGGAGAAGAUGGUAUGGUUAACUUUUCUCAGUUCUCAGUUUACAGCGCUGUGGUGAAGGAAUCUCUUGCUUCUUGGACUCUGAACGGCGACUUCAACUCAGCUACAGCCUUAUCACUGUGUCUGUUUGUAUACGCGCGCGUGUGAGAUGAACGUACUGGCUGCAGCGUAUCGAAUGUGUAUAUACACAUCGGCCUCGAGUGUUUGUAGUAAACUGUGGGGACUAUAAGCUAACUUCAGACGCAAGGAAGUCGGCUUGUUUGGACAAGGCUUAACCACCAACAAGAAGAAGGGACUGGAGCUACAACGUAAAUGUUUAUCGAGUUUGUGGCAACGUUUGGUUACUUGUGUGAUAUACAAUAUGAUGAAGAGUGAGGAAUCACUAGUGGAGUCUCAGUUGCACCAACAGCAUCAUUCGGUGGUGCAGCAGACCAUCAACAUCCAGCAGCAUCUACAUCAUCUGCACCAACACGGCGUGAUACUGAGUAGCAGCGCUGACCAUGGCGGCUCGGUGUUGGGUCUGGACACUGCGACCAGCAUGCCUCAGCAGCAGGAGUCGGUGGCUGCUGCUCCAGAGCAGGAGAAGGCGAGUGAGGCCUCCUCAGUACCGGCGGCGGUCACCAAGAAGGGGAACCCGGGCGUUCGACGCCAGGAGAAGCCGCCGUAUUCCUACAUCGCCCUCAUCGUCAUGGCCAUCCAGAGCUCUCCAGCCAAGAGACUCACUCUCAGCGAGAUCUAUACCUUCCUGCAGCAGCGGUUUCCGUUCUUCCGCGGCUCAUACCAGGGCUGGAAGAAUUCGGUACGCCACAACCUGUCCCUGAACGAGUGCUUUAUCAAGCUGCCGAAAGGACUCGGUCGUCCUGGGAAAGGACAUUACUGGACCAUUGAUCCCGCCUCCGAGUUCAUGUUCGAGGAAGGUUCCUUCAGGAGAAGGCCACGCGGUUUCCGGCGCAAGUGCCAAGCCCUGAAACCCCAAUAUCAUCCCCAUCAUCCGGCAGCGGCGUAUUUCGGGAAUCCUGGAACAGCAGGGUCGAUGCUGGGUCCCGUGUCGUCACAGCCGGGUCACUACGAGUCACUGCAUCAACAAGGGCUUGGCGGGCCUCAAGGUCAGGAUUAUCAGUCGACUUGUUCGUACAACGCGGCGCAGCAGAGCAUGGGGCACCACUACGGGUACGACUACAGCGCGGCACCGUCGCCCAGCAUGUACCAGCAGUGCUCAUCGAACCGCGAGGGUACAGGCUGGGGCAGUCCACACCUCGCCUUCUCUACGGGGGACAACGCGUACAUGAAACCGCCUUUGAGCCCGAUACCGGAGCAGCACGGCUCCAUGACCCCGCCCAGUGCAGCGCCCGCUGCAGCGGAGUCGUACACCUACCAGUACACCCUGCAGCCCAACUCGGACCACGGUAUCCGUGCAGCCACCAUGCAGCCAGUGCAGUGCGACCGUAAGCCCUAUAUGACUCCACCGCCCCCAUCUAUACCAACAAGCCUUCCUUCACCGCCAGCUGCCAACACCGCUCAUACUUUCUAUGAGAACAUCAAGUACACAAUUUAACUCAGUGGACGAAGUGAAAAGUGACUUAGUUCUUGGGAUGUUGCAGCGUGCGGACUAGUCAUCUCAUAUGUUGUUUGAGUGAGAAAUAUUCUGAAUUAUGCUAGUAUAUUAUUAAUUUUAUUAAUUUAAUAUCACUUUAUACCAAAUUUGCGUCGAUCAGGAAAGACAUGAUUUCAACGAUUUAGAUACUGAACCCUCAUCGCCACUUAGCAGGAUGGCCGUCCAUCCCUCCUCAAGACACCAGGCAAUCGGCGUCAUCACCCUGCAGUCUCCUUUUCAACACAAUAGCGAAAAGUCACUCUUUAAACUUGUCGCUGAAUUAAGUAAGGCAAUGCAGUCUCUGUUCGACACGAAUUGAAAGAAAUCUCCGUUGACGUGAUGCAUUUGUUAAGUUCCCGAAGGAUUAGAACUUUCUUGAAUCAGCAGGUCUACCACUAUAAGUACAUUCCAAAAUCUAGUGAAGUGAUUCAUCAGUUAGCCUAUUGCCAACAAGCUAAGUAAACCGCGCGGUAGUCAUGUUGCAAUUUUACAUUCUUUUAAGUGUUGAUAGGUUCCUUAAUGAAAACUACACAACGUUUUAUUUCAACUCUGUCAUCAUUAAAAUUUUACAUCUGCAUAAUUUUCAAUAAAGGAUUGAGACCAUUCAACAAUUUAAAAUCGACACUGAAUUGCACUAUUUUUCUCGCCUUAUUUAGACUUACCAAGACGGGAAAAUAUCUAAUGCUGUGAUGUUAACCCAAUAUUCACACAAACGUAUCAAUAUU